UCCUACGGGACGCAGCAGUGGGGAAUAUUGCACAAUGGGGGAAACCCUGAUGCAGCGACGCCGCGUGAGUGAAGAAGUAUUUCGGUAUGUAAAGCUCUAUCAGCAGGGAAGAUAAUGACGGUACCUGACUAAGAAGCCCCGGCUAACUACGUGCCAGCAGCCGCGGUAAUACGUAGGGGGCAAGCGUUAUCCGGAUUUACUGGGUGUAAAGGGUGCGUAGGUGGCAGGGCAAGUCAGAUGUGAAAGCCCGGGGCUCAACCCUGGUACUGCAUUUGAAACUGUUCUUCUUGAGUGAUGGAGAGGCA
rnacentral:rRNA from 1 species